rnacentral:rRNA from 1 species
UACUUUCAGCAGUGAGGAAGGCGGAGUCGUUAAUAGCGGCCUCGUUUGACGUUAGCUGCAGAAGAAAGCACCGGCUAACUCCGUGCCAGCAGCCGCGGUAAUACGGAGGGUGCGAGCGUUAAUCGGAAUUACUGGGCGUAAAGCGCAUGCAGGUGGUUUGUUAAGUCAGAUGUGAAAGCCCGGGGCUCAACCUCGGAAUUGCAUUUGAAACUGGCAGACUAGAGUACUGUAGAGGGGGGUAGGAAUUUCAGGUGUAGCGGUGAAAAUGCGUAGAGAUCUGAAGGAAUACCGGUGGCGAAGGCGGCCCCCUGGACAGAUACUGACACUCAGAUGCGAAAGCGUGGGGAGCAAACAGGAUUAGAUACCCUGGUAG